GACGAACGCUGGCGGCGUGCUUAAUACAUGCAAGUCGAACGGAAAGGCCCUGCUUUUGUGGGGUGCACGAGAGGCGAACGGGUGAGUAAAACGUGAGUAAAAUGCACUUGAAUUAGGGAUAACUUCUGGAAACUGGGGAUAAUACCGGGUAUGAGAUACUGAUGCACGGGGGGGGAUGGAGAGUUUCGGCGGUGGGGGAUGGACUCGCGGCUUAUCCGCUGGCUGGGGGGGUAGUGGCUUACAAAGGCUUUGACGGGUAGCCGGCCUGGGAGGGUGGCCGGCCACAUUGCGCCUGAGGUACGGCGCAGACGCCUACGUGAGGCAGCAGUGGGGAACAUUGCGCAACGGGGCGAAGCCAGAUGCAGCAACCCCGCGUGCGUGAUGAUGGCCUUCGAGUUGUAAACCACUUUCGCCUGUGACGAACCGUGAGUGACGGUAAUGGGUAAGGAAGCAACGGCUAACUACGUG
rnacentral:rRNA from 1 species